rnacentral:rRNA from 1 species
GACGAACGCUGGCGGCGUGCUUAACACAUGCAAGUCGAACGGAAAGGCCCUGCUUUUGUGGGGUGCUCGAGUGGCGAACGGGUGAGUAACACGUGAGUAACCUGCCCUUGACUUUGGGAUAACUUCAGGAAACUGGGGCUAAUACCGGAUAGGAGCUCCUGCUGCAUGGUGGGGGUUGGAAAGUUUCGGCGGUUGGGGAUGGACUCGCGGCUUAUCAGCUUGUUGGUGGGGUAGUGGCUUACCAAGGCUUUGACGGGUAGCCGGCCUGAGAGGGUGGCCGGGGUCCUUAGGACUACGGUACGCAGCAGAAUCGUACGGGAGGCAAUAGUGGAAAGUCUGACAGAGCGGCGCGGCGUCUGAUACAGCAACGCCGGGUGCGGGAUGCCGUCCUUCUGGGUAAGAACCGCUUUCGCAUGUGACGAAGCGAGAGUGACGGUAAUGGGUCAAGAAGCCACGGCUAACUACGUG